rnacentral:rRNA from 1 species
AUACGUAGGGUGCAAGCGUUGUUCGGAAUUACUGGGCGUAAAGGGCUCGUAGGCGGCCAACUAAGUCAGACGUGAAAUCCCCCGGCUUAACCUGGGAACUGCGUCUGAUACUGGACGGCUUGAGUAUGGGAGAGGGAUGUAGAAUUCCAGGUGUAGCGGUGAAAUGCGUAGAUAUCUGGAGGAAUACCGGUGGCGAAGGCGGCAUCCUGGACCAUUACUGACGCUGAGGCGCGAAAGCUAGGGGAGCAAACG